rnacentral:rRNA from 1 species
UACGUAGGGUGCGAGCGUUGUCCGGAAUUAUUGGGCGUAAAGAGCUCGUAGGCGGCUUGUCGCGUCGGAUGUGAAAGCCCGGGGCUUAACUCCGGGUCUGCAUUCGAUACGGGCAGGCUAGAGUGUGGUAGAGGAGAUCGGAAUUCCUGGUGUAGCGGUGAAAUGCGCAGAUAUCAGGAGGAACACCGGUGGCGAAGGCGGAUCUCUGGGCCAUUACUGACGCUGAGGAGCGAAAGCGUGGGGAGCGAACAGG